rnacentral:rRNA from 1 species
CUUUGGAAACGAAGAAUAAUACCCUAUAAAACCAUAAAAGCACAUGCUAGAAUGGUCAAAGUGAUAGCGGUGUAAGAUGGACUUGCGUCUGAUUAGCUAGUUGGUGAGAUAAAAGCUCACCAAGGCAACGAUCAGUAGCCGGCUUGAGAGAGUGUACGGCCACAUUGGGACUGAGACACGGCCCAG